CGGUGGCCCCAAGGGAGGACGCUACAGCACAGCUCCCUCCUCAGGACCUGAGUUUGCCUUCUCACCAUGAGGCUUCUAGUUCUUUCCAGCCUGCUCUGCAUUCUGCUUCUCUGCUUCACUGUUUUCUCCACGGAAGGAAGGAGGCAUCCUAACAAGGUCUGGCCAGGCAAAAGAGCCAGGCUCUGCUGCCACCGAGUCCUUAGACCCAACCCAACAAACCUGAAAAGACAACAUGUGAGGCUCUGCAAACCAUGCAAGCUUGAGCCAGAGGCCCGCCCUUGGGUGGUGCCUGGGGCACUUCCACAGGUGUAGCACUCCCAAAGCAAGAUUCCAGACAGCGGAGACCCUCACGCCUGGCACCUGAGGUGCCCAGCAGCAUCCUGUCUCCCCUUUCAGACAUCACAGCAGUGAGCUGCAAUGUUGGAGGGUUUCAUCUCAGGCAGCAAAGACGCUGGGAAAGUCCUGGAACUCCACAUACUUGUCUCAAUUGUGCCAUCAACUUUUAGAGCUAUGAUGGUCCAACCUCAGCCCACACAGCCUCAGCCCACUAUGUGAGCCUCUCCAAGGCAAACAGUCAAUCGUUCCACUGUGACUGGUCACAGCCACAAAUCCAGAGACCAUCAAUCCUGCUCGGGUGCAGGGUGGCAAGCACCCAAGGGUGGCUGACCAAGACUGCAGAGCCAGCUCCAUCUUCAGAUUCAUUCAAACUCCUGGCAUUUAACCACCAGCAUCCAGUGGUCCCCUAGAAAUCCCUUCCUAGCCUCCUGACCUGAGUCUGCUGGAAAGAACACCCAAACAAACAAGUAGUAAAUAAAAUAAAUCAACUCAAUGCAGACAUAUCCUUAUUUGACAAGGUCGGCGAUAGAGCCUGAGGCAUAGCUUUCUGCUGGCAGAAACGUGUCCCUAAAGCCCUACCUGCAGGCCACUCUUUGUCACAACACAGUGUGACUAUGUUAGGAGAAGGACAGAGGCCCCGGGUCCAGCACAGAAGCCCUAAUCUGCUAAGGGUGCUCCGUGUGAGCUGGGCAUGUUGUGUCUUUUCUAGAAAAUUGAGAUGACAGGACAUACUCAGAGGGCAAAUAGCCAGGUGUGGGAGUGCCCACGAAGGGCCUGGCACACGGAGGGACUUGGUUCAGGGAAGUCCUUGCCUCUGCUUCCCCAUCCCGGGAUGUUUGUGCUCCGGGUGAACACAGCUGAAGCUCAGAGGGCACAGAUGGCUCAGGUCUGAGCGGCUUAUCUCUUAACAAAGCUCCCUUCUAAUCCGAUUUUCACAGCAAGGUGAGAAGCCCCAUCGCUGCACCCUCCACAGCCACAGAACAGAACACCUGGCCCCCUCUGGGCUGAUGGGCAGAGGUUCCCUGGCCCAGGGCUCUGGGGACAGUGGUACCCACAGUAAAGAAAUAAACCACACACAAAAUAAACAUGUGUGCUGGAGAGGCAACCAAAAGGAAGAAUCAAAGGCCAAGUGCCCCACUGAGCUCACCUCCUCUUCAGAACCAUGGAGAGGAAAGGGGAGCAUGAGUUCUGGAAGCCUCAGCCUCUGUGAGGGGUGCAGGUGAGGAAGACCAGAUAUUUGAUACAUACGAAUAAAGGGAAGACACAGCCUUGCCUGCGGGAAAGAGGGAGCACAUUUUCUGAGGGCCAGGAUUGCAGGGUUACAGCUGUGAGCUGGUCACAGCGAAAUGGUGCCGAGAAGAGGCUGGGCUUGGGCUGUAUGGGCGGUAUGGGCAGUGACCCCAAGAUCCCAAGAGGCCCUUAAGGGACACCAACCACUCAAAACAGCCUGGAUCAAAGGUGAGAACAUAAAAGGAGCACAGAACCCUGUACCUGCUCCACCCCAGCCUGUCCCAUCUGUCCUUCUGAGGAGGGAGGGAAAGCCUGAGAAGGGUUGCCAGGCCAACAGAGAUGCUCACAUAGAGCUAGAGGUCUAUGGCUCCUCGGAAGCAGGUGCUGCUUCCCUU